UUAAAGUUUGAUUUUGGCUUAAAAAUUUUAAUUUUUACUAAUAUUAUAAUAUGAGGUAUUUAUAGAUUAAUUUAUUAAGGGUCAGUUAUUAAAAUUGUUUGAAUUAAUAUAUUUAUUGAUAAAGAUAUAGUAAUUUAUAAUAGGAUAAUUAUGUGCCAGCAUCCGCGGUUAUACUAUAUAUUAAAAUUAAAAAAUAUUUGGUAAGUAUUUAUUUUUAAUUAUUAAUUAUUAUAUUAAUUUAAAGGUGAAAUUUGAAUAUAAAAUUUUGAAUAUAGAUUAUAUGAAAUUCUUUAUAAAAACUAGGAUUAGAUACCCUAUUAUUAAGAGCUUAAAUUAUUAGUACUAAGAGAGUAUAAGUUAAGGUCUUUAAAUUUAAAUAAUUUGGCGGUAAAUUAAUUUAACUAGAGGAAUUUGUUUAGUAAUAGAUAAUACACAAUUUAUCUUUCUUUAUUUAUUAAUAAUAAUAAUUUAUAUAUCGUCGUUUAGAAUAUUUUUAUAGAAUUAAUUUUCUUUUAUUAUUUUAAUUUAAAAUCAGAUCAAGAUGUAGUUUAUAAUGAAGAAUAAAAUGAAUUACAUUUUUACAAAAAAAUAAUGAAUAUUUUUUUGUAAUUAGAAAUUUGAAGGAGGAUUUAGAAGUAAUAAGAUAUUAAUAUGAUUUUAUGAAUUAUAUUAUACUAAUUUAUGUACAUAUUGCCCGUCGCUUUCAUUGAAUAUAAAAUGAAAAAAGUCGUAACAUAGUAGAGUUACUGGAAAGUGAUUCUAGAUUGAU
rnacentral:ncRNA from 1 species